AAGGUACUCACUCCGUUCAGAAUUACUUGUCGCAGAAAUGGAUGUAUCUAGACGUAUUUUAGUUGUAGAUACAUCCAUUUCCGAGACAAGUAAUUCCGAACGGAGGGAGUAGCAU
rfam:Triticum aestivum genome assembly, contig: Triticum_aestivum_CS42_TGACv1_scaffold_158066_2DL